GGUUGGUUUUUUUUCUUUUCUUUUCUGUUUUUUUGGGGUUUUUCUUUGGUUUUUUUUUUGUUUUUUUUUAUUGUUUGCUUGGGUUGGUUUUUUUUGUUUUUUUUUUUUUUCCUGACUGCGCUUUCUAAGUUCAGAUGUCUCGCUUUCGGGAUUUUGUAAACCCGCGGUUCGCCCCGCUUUGCUUUAGUGACGGCUGCGCGGCUUUCUGCCACCACGACUGUCGGUGGGAUUCCCGUGCACUCCGGCUGCUGAGGCAAAUGGGGGAUCCCGCCUUAAUAUCCGAUUUCGUGUUUCUCUUUCAGUGAUCCCAGUGACAGAAUGACACAGUUUUUGUAAGCCUGUGACUGCAUCAGAAGCUCUUCCACUUUUGAUUUGUUUAAACCAGCCAUGUUUGCCAAGUGUUUAAGGUUGGGCUGGGAAAGAUAGUGCUGUGCAUUGCUCAAGGGUGUAGGAGAGGCCAGGCAGUCGGCGGCUGUUUUUGCAAACAUAGACAUCGCUGCCUGCGUCCAAAGAAUAAUAAACUGUCACUGCGGGGACACGGUUCGGCCGGGACCCGGCGCGGGCGGCCACCGGCAUCGCGUCACUGGCGCGCAGCCGGGCGCACGGUGCCCGCGGAGACAGCGCGCAUCGGGGGAGGGCGGAGUGCGGGGGGGGGGGAAGCGGUCGCACGCUCGGCGAACGCGGAACCUCUCCCAGCUGGGCUGUGUUGGGCGGAUUUCUUUCUUUCAGUACCUCUUCCUGAUUCCUUUGUUGCUAGAAACGCCGAAACCCCCGUCCAUCGCAGGUUUCCCUCUGUGUUUUAAAAGGACUUAGUGUCUCUAUGGCGGGGUGCCACGGCUCCCUUACACCGGCACGCUCAACAGCCAUGCAGCACCGACGGGGAAAGAUACCUUCUAUUCGAUUAAUAACGUUUUGGAACUCACAUGACAAAAAACCCUUUCCUUUAAAUAUUUCAUAUCACCAAUAUCUGUCAUUUCCAUUUUUAGUUGUCUAAAGCAUUUUAUAUGUGUCUGGUUCCAGUCUAUAAAGCUGACAAAUGAGUUUGAUUAUA